rnacentral:lncRNA from 1 species
CAGGAGGAUUACAAGCUUGAGGCCUGUUUCAGCAAUUUAUUGAGAUCCUGAAUCAAAAUAAAAUAAAAUUAAAUACAAAACAGGGCUGGGGAUGGGGGCUCAGUGGUUGUGUACCCCUGAGUUCAAUCUCCGGUACUCCCCAUCCCCCCACAAAAAGACAAACCAGAAGGGCUGAGCUCUGACCCCGCUGGCCACCCAUCAGACAGGCCCCUCCUGUGCCCACACCCCCACGGCUCCUCACUGCUCUGGAGCAGAACUGUAGAAUCCCUGAAUGGAUCCCUCUUAAGAUUCAGAUCUUACCCAGGUCCCUCAUCCACUCUGUGACCUUGGCCUUUGCCUCUCUCGGCUUGUGCUAGGGACUGGGUAAGUGGGUCUCAGGCCUCCCCCUGACUGGCUGCUGGACUGGCCACCGCAGCCCUUCUGCCCUCCCCACUGGCCCAUCCCCCUGUGCCUCUCCUGACCCCACAUCCUGUAGGGCUCCCAGUGCCCCAGAUACAAAAGCCACAUUCUUCCUGCCCUUGGCCUUUAAGGUCCCAGGGGUGUCCCAGGGGCUCCCAGUGCUGCUCCUGCCUGGAACAGCCUCUUUGUCCACAAGGGUCCGCCUCAUAUCUUUCUCAACACCAUCUCUCCACUCCCACCACCACAGGAGACACCCUCCCAGCUGUCCCCAUUCACCCAUGCCACAAGCAUUAGCCGAGCACCCGCUGGAUCCCAGGCCCUGCCCUGAGGACACAAAUGAUCAUAACAGGUUCAGGUUUGGGGCUCCCAAACCUCCAAGGGAGAAAAACAACUUGAUCACACAAGAAGACGUGCAGGUCGCACUCCUGGUGGGGACAGAGGGAGGGACACAAGCAUAACAGUGUGACCAGGAUCUGGAAAGAAGUUGGCACAGUUGCCCAUUUGAGGGCUUCAUGGAGACCUGGAAGGAAAGGGGCUCUGGGCAGAGGGGAAAUGAUCCCAAAGGUCCUGGGGCCUGACCAGUCUGCAUUGAGGAUGACCAGCUCCCCCAAACUCUUUGACUAGAGCAGAUUGAGCGAUGGGGAGAGGUAUGGGGGGGAAGUGGGGGCAGGGACACAGGGACCAUGGCCUCUAGAGCCUUGGGGGCUAAGGGGACAAAUGAAGGCUUACUCCUAGGGUGCUUGGGCCACCUGGAGGCAGAGACCCAUUUGCUCGCAUGGCCCGAGGUAGUUUGGCUCUGCUGCCCCCUGGUGGUGAGUGAGGCAUCCUGGUGGCCUCCCCUCUGGCCCCAAACUGCCUCCAUUUCCUCUGAUAAGUCUGUUCGGCCACGCCCAACCCAGGGCUCCUUCCCUCCCCUCCUGUCCUCACUGGGGUGGAGGCCAAGGACUCAGAGUCAGAUCUGUCCUGAUGCUCUCCCAGGGCGUCUCUGGGCAAUACAUUCUGAGGUUGUGUGCUUGUUCUCUCCUCUCCUCUAUGGGGAUGACAGCAGUCCCUGCUUCUCAACUUACUCCAGGCCCUACUCUCUUCUGUCCAAAUGUUGCACUACCUACCUCUUUGUCUCUGCCACAUCCAUGCCUGUCCCCAGGCAGUGACAGAAGCUUUAAAAUUUUUCAUCCUGCCUCAGGACCUUUGCAUAUCCUGUUCCCACUGCCUUGUGCCAAUUUCUGCCUAGAUCUGUCCAUGCCCGGGCUCAAACAGCAACUCCCCAUGAGUUCCCUACUUGAACGGGUCUUGUUUAUCCACAUGCUUGCUCAUCACCAUCUCCUCAUGCUGGCUGAGAACUCCCUGGAGGAAAGAAUGUGUUCCUCUUGUUCACAUUUAUGCCUUUAGCACCAGGCACACAGUAGGUGUCUAAUAAGCACUUGCUGAUUGAAUGACAGGAAACUUGCCUACUGCCAGGCACCCAGUGUGGGCUCCAUGUUGUUCUCUCUUAUUAAAACAUGUGGAGGGCCAGGGCUGGGGCUCAGCGGUAGAGCGCUCACCUAGCACUCUUGAGGCGCUGGGUUCGAUCCUCAGCACCACAUAAAAAUAAAGAUAGUACUGUGUCCACCUACAACUAAAAAGUAAAUAUUAAAAAAGAAAAGCUUUUGGAAAGGCUGUAUGUAGUGGCGCAUGCCUGUGAUCCCAGCAGCUCAGGAGGCCGAGGAAGGAGGAUCAUGAGUCCAAAGCCAGCCUCAGCUACUUAGCAAGGCACUAAGCAGCUUAACGAGAUCCUUUCUCUAAAUAAAUAAAUAAGGUCUGGGGACGUGGCCCAUUGGUUAAGCACCCCUGGGUUCCAGUCCAUAACAUUCUUCCCCGUACAGUGGCAAGACCCUGAGACUUGCCCAGUCACAGAGAGUGACUCAAACCUUGACAGACUCUGGUGGCAUAUCUGGCCUUGAUCCUUGGUCCCCAGACACACUAAAUCAGAAGAAUAGGAUUCUCCCCUGGGCCUCAAUCUCCUCAGCUGGGAAAUGGGGUUAAGCAGGGACCUCCUGCCAGGGUGAGGGAGGGAAUGCGGGCCUGGAGCCACACUGGCACUCCGGCAGGCUGGGUAUUCCUCCUGACCGCUCUGUCUGGUUCAGCCUGGUGCACAGGGCUCCAAGCCUGGGCUCUAGUGGUGGAUUCUGGGGCUUGGGCGUGUGUGUAUGCUCAGAGGGAGGAGAGUUCCACGUAGGUCCCCGAGGUCGCUGCCCAGAGCAGCCUGGGAAUCCAGCACCUGUCUGGGGGCAGUCCUUGGGCAACAGCUCAAGUUCUGGCCGGCCUGGGCCACCUGUCAGGUGAGGACCUGCUGGCCAGGCUGUAAAUGGAAUUUCCCCAUCUUGGCCCCAGUGUGCCUGGGCCAACCAUUAUAAAGAGGGGUAAACUGAGGUCCUGAGAGGUGAUGUCACCAGCUUACAGUACCCUGGGGAGAGAGCUGGGUCUGGAGCCUUCCAAGGCUCUGGGGUGCCCGCAGCGGCGCGGUCACUUACCUCCAGGGGUGCAGGCCCAGGGAGGGGCUACAGGGGCUGCAGGGGCUGCUGGGGCUCAGCAGCGACGGGCUCUGACUGCUCGGAGACAGACUGCAAAGAAAGAGGCCGGGGACGGUGAACCUGGCGGUUGCCCCUGAGUGUGGCCGGAUCCGGAGACCAGACCAGGGCAGUGGUUCUCCGGGCGAGGAGGGGCCCCAGGCCGGGGAUUCUGGGUUUCAGCGCAGGCCGCGAGGGAGGGGCCAGGAAGGCUCCCCGGAGGCGGCGACACCAACCGAGACGCGGGGUGGCAGGGAGGGUGGUUGUCAUCCUGUCCUCGCCGGUCCCCCUCCCCGCCCGGCGCGGCACUCACUCGAGGGUCAGCGCCGGGAUGUGCAGCUUGUCCCUGCGGGACUUCAUGCCGAGGCUGGGGCCGCGUCUACGCGGCCGGGUAACGACGUCCUCCUGGCGGCUCCCAAGCCCCGAUCGUGGCGCGAUCGGUCGCACGGACAGACACGGACCGAGGGGCGGCGCGCCUGGCGGGUGCGGCGGACCGGCGCGGAGGCUCGGCCGCCGGGGGCGCGGGGGGCGGUUCUCUCCGCCCCGGGGCGGGGCUCGGAGCGCGGCACCUGCGCGCAAGCC